rnacentral:rRNA from 1 species
AUCGUGUCAGGAUGAACGCUAGCUACAGGCUUAACACAUGCAAGUCGAGGGGCAGCAUGAGAUCAGCUUGCUGAUCUUGAUGGCGACCGGCGCACGGGUGAGUAACGCGUAUCCAACCUUCCCCCUACUCAGGCAUAGCCCGGUGAAAACCGGAUUAACUCCUGAUAGUUUCACUAGAUGGCAUCUGACGGUGAAUAAAGCUCAGCGGUAAGGGAUGGGGAUGCGUCUGAUUAGCUUGUUGGCGGGUAACGGCCCACCAAGGCGACGAUCAGUAGGGGUUCUGAGAGGAAGGUCCCCCACAUUGGAACUGAGACACGGUCCAAACUCCUACGGGAGGCAGCAGUGAGGAAUAUUGGUCAAUGGGCGCGAGCCUGAACCAGCCAAGUAGCGUGCAGGAAGACGGCCCUAUGGGUUGUAAACUGCUUUUGUGCGGGAAUAAAGUCAGGGACGUGUCCCUGUUUGCAUGUACCGCAAGAAUAAGGACCGGCUAAUUCCGUGCCAGCCGCCGC